UCGGAUUUAACCGGAAUGAUCAACGUUCAACGUUCGAACUUGAUAGGCAACAUUUGCAGAUUUCCACAACUGCAUAACGCUGAGAUGUGAUGGCGUCAAGAUACAGGUCGACGAAUUAUGACAUUUUCUUUUUCAUAAACUUUGAUUGUUCCCGAUAAGUUGUCAGAUGAGUUUCCUGGUAAGCAGUACGUUAGCAGAGACCACCAUUACCCCACCGUACUCUUUCACUAUGUCCUGCACGGCGUGCGCGAAACCAAGUAAAUCGAGGGAAUAAUCCAUAGCAUUGGCAAUGGGGAAGAUGAUACCAAUUGAUCCGCCAAAUUCAGGACCAAGUACUCUAGACCUGUGGUGUUGCAGGAACGUUUAAGCUGUUGCUUUCCAAGGGCAGUUUGGGAAAUGGCGUCUAAUCUGAUAUAAUUAGAUGACAAAAUGCUGGAUUAUUUGUCAAAUUCCGCACACAGCUGGGAAAUUCUACCAAACCAGUCCAUGUUUGGACGAUGACGUAACAACGCUGGAUUAGGAAUCCGGAUGUGACACCAGUAUUUCCAGUUCGGAUUUACGUGGUGCUAUAAUAGAAGCAGGUGGAAGCGUUUAAUUUCUAUACGAAGCGGAUCCCUGUUUUUUGCUGCAGGACUUGUGAUGUAAAUCAGCGGUACACUUCGACGCGAUUUGGUCGAAAUGAAAAGAUGUAGAACGUCUUUUCCAGUUAUGAAGAAGAAUACGCGAAUCUGCUGUGUAACGACAGUCAAUAUUAUAAGCGCAGAGCUUUUUUCACAUGAACAUUUUUGAGAAUAAUAUGUCAAAACGGAUGUUUGAUUCCUUCGAACGAGGACGAAUGGUGGCAUAUUUGCUGUGAGUGCCUCCAACCAAGCCAUGUAUAGUGGGGCACUGAAGGCUCCUUUUCGAGUUACGGGUUUCCAGAGAGUGCAAAAUUCCCGGACAUAGAAAUGUUACAUAACCAAACGAAAUAUCUGUCAAAUUGGGCACACAGCUGUGAAAUUUUACCAAACCAGUCGAUGUACGGACGAUGACGUAACGGCGCUGGAUUCGGAAUCCGGAUGGGACAUCAGGAUUUCCAGUUUCGAUUAACAUGGCGAUAUGUCAGCAGGUGGAAAUGUUAAAUUUCUAUACGAAGCGGAUCCCUAUUUUUUGCUGCAGGACUUGUGAUAUAAACCAGCGGUACGCAUCGCCGCGAUUGGAUCGAAAUGAUAAGAUUUACGAUUAUUAGAUGUGGUACAACUCCCUUCGUCUCCCUCUCUCGCAUCGAUCUGAUUUAAAAUCAGAAGUGAAUGACCUGACAACAUUUUCGCCGUGUGCCAAAACACCUUUCGAGGUUUUACCAUUUAACGGAGCGACGACAAUCAUCACCAUUUUCAUCACCUCUGAUGGCCGCCAUCUUUUUUGGUUGAUUGGCUAAAACAACAACAAAGUUUCCCUAUUUGGUUUUUAUAUUUCUUGAAAUAAGAAUUGAGUUUGGAUUGUGAAAGGAAGGCUCAAAGAAGGAUAUUCAUGUGCUGCCCUCUAGUGGGAAAUGGGGGAAUUGCCUGCCUGUUAUUUGUUUUGUCGCCAUUUUGAUCUCGCUGAAAUGAAGGGAAAAACAAAAA